rnacentral:lncRNA from 1 species
GACGCCGAAGUCCCGGGAAAAGGAAGGGCGCCAUUUGAUUUCACAGCAAACGGGCGGUGACACCGACUUCCCGGGAAAGGGAAAGGCGCCAUUUGAUUUCACAGAAAACGGAAACGCAGUGAUGAAGCCCAGCGCCUGGCCCUCGCCCUCCCUCCACGUCUGUCUCGGGGGCGCCCUCCCCUCGCAGGAGCCAGGGCACGCGGGCCUUCAACCGCCGAGGCCCCCGCCGCCCUUCUGGACUUUUAUCGAGGCAUGUACACUAAUACGAAAGAGAAUUUGCCAUUUACCUGUAAGAUUGAGGGUGACAACGUAAGAGGAAUGGUUUUAAGUGACGCGUCCGGCUCCUUACUCCCACUGAAGGGUGAAGGUGCCACAGGUGGACCUGGUUUGGAUUCUGAUGUGAAGAAACCGACUUCAAAACAUUUGGGCCAAUCAGGAAAAUGCGAAAACUCUGACUACAAAUUUAAUGAUAUCUAGAAUUAUUGUUAAUAGUUUAAGAUGGAGUCUUGCCCUGUCACCCAGGCUAGAGUGCAGUGGUGCAAUCUCGGCUCACUACAGCCUCCACCUCCAGGGUUCAAGCAAUUCUCAUGCCUCAGCCUCCCAAGUAGCUGGGAUUACAGGUAUGUGCCAUCACACCUGGCUAAUUUUUGUAUUUUUAGUGGAGACAGGGUUUU